rnacentral:pre_miRNA from 1 species
AAAUGGCCAAUUUAGUGGCCGUUACCUCUGAGCUUGUAUGUCCAUAAAUUCAUCCAAAUUCAGAGGUAACGGCACACUACAUUAGGCUACUG